AUUGAACGCUGGCGGCAUGCCUUACACAUGCAAGUCGAACGGCAGCACGGGUGCUUGCACCUGGUGGCGAGUGGCGAACGGGUGAGUAAUACAUCGGAACAUGUCCUGUAGUGGGGGAUAGCCCGGCGAAAGCCGGAUUAAUACCGCAUACGAUCUACGGAUGAAAGCGGGGGACCUUCGGGCCUCGCGCUAUCGGGUUGGCCGAUGGCUGAUUAGCUAGUUGGUGGGGUAAAGGCCUACCAAGGCGACGAUCAGUAGCUGGUCUGAGAGGACGGCCAGCCACACUGGGACUGAGACACGGCCCAGACUCCUACGGGAGGCAGCAGUGGGGAAUUUUGGACAAUGGGCGAAAGCCUGAUCCAGCAAUGCCGCGUGUGUGAAGAAGGCCUUCGGGUUGUAAAGCACUUUUGUCCGGAAAGAAAUCCUUGGCCCUAAUACGGUCGGGGGAUGACGGUACCGGAAGAAUAAGCACCGGCUAACUACGUG
rnacentral:rRNA from 1 species